rnacentral:sRNA from 1 species
GCUGGGCAAGGUGGUACACCCUUGCAGUCCCAGCUACUUGGGAGGCUACGGCAAGAGGAUCACUUGAGCCCAGGAGUUUAAGGACAGCCUAAGCAACAUAGUGAGACCCUGUCUC